rnacentral:rRNA from 1 species
AUUGAACGCUGGCGGCAUGCCUUACACAUGUAAGUCGAACGGCAGCACGGGAGCAAUCCUGGUGGCGAGUGGCGAACGGGUGAGUAAAGUAUCGGAACGUGCCCAGUCGUGGGGGAUAACGUAGCGAAAGUUACGCUAAUACCGCAUACGAUCUAUGGAUGAAAGCGGGGGAUCGCAAGACCUCGCGCGAUUGGAGCGGCCGAUAUCAGAUUAGGUAGUUGGUGGGGUAAAGGCUCACCAAGCCGACGAUCUGUAGCUGGUCUGAGAGGACGACCAGCCACACUGGGACUGAGACACGGCCCAGACUCCUACGGGAGGCAGCAGUGGGGAAUUUUGGACAAUGGGCGAAAGUCUGAUCCAGCCAUGCCGCGUGCAGGAUGAAGGCCUUCGGGUUGUAAACUGCUUUUGUACGGAACGAAAAGGUUUGGCCUAAUAAGCUGAGCUCAUGACGGUACCGUAAGAAUAAGCACCGGCUAACUACGUGCCAGCAGCCGCGGUAA